rnacentral:rRNA from 1 species
UAAUACAGAGGGUGCGAGCGUUGUUCGGAAUUAUUGGGCGUAAAGCGCUGGUAGGUGGCUUGUUAAGUCGCGUGUGAAAUCUCCAGGCUCAACCUGGAAAGUGCGCGCGAAACUGGCGAGCUUGAGUGCCGGAGAGGGUCGCGGAAUUCCCGGUGUAGAGGUGAAAUUCGUAGAUAUCGGGAGGAACACCAGAGGCGAAGGCGGCGACCUGGAAGGUAACUGACACUGAGCAGCGAAAGCGUGGGGAGCAAACAGGAUUAGAUACCCUGGUAGUCCACGCCGUAAACGAUGGAUGCUAGCUGUGGCGGGUUUUGACCCCUGCCGUGGCGACGCUAACGCAAUAAGCAUCCCGCCUGGGAAGUACGGCCGCAAGGCUAAAACUCAAAGGAAUUGACGG